GACGAACGCUGGCGGCGUGGAUUAGGCAUGCAAGUCGAACGGUAUCAUCCUUUCGGGGGUGAGAGAGUGGCGAACUGGUGAGUAACACGUAGGUUAUCUACCCUCAAGACGGGGACAACCCAGGGAAACUUGGGCUAAUACCGGAUGUGAGCAACUUUUAGUUGUUUGAAAGGUGGCGUAAGCUGUCGCUUGGGGAUGAGCCUGCGUCCUAUUAGUUAGUUGGUGAGGUAACGGCUCACCUAGGCAAUGAUAGGUAGGCGGCCUUAACGGGUGGUCGCCCACACUGGGAUUGAGAUACGGCCCAGACUCCUACGGGAGGCAGCAGUCGAGAAUAGUCUACAAUGGUCGGAAGACUGAUAGUGCGACGCCGCGUGAACGAUGAAUCCCUUCGGGGUGUAAAGUUCUUUUAUAUGUGAGCAGUGCUUCUUAUAUUAAACAGUAUGGGGAGAGAGAUAUUAGCAUAUGAAUAGCAACGGCUAACUCCGUGCCAGCAGCCGCGGUAAAACGU
rnacentral:rRNA from 1 species